AAGGACUUCCAACCGUACAGGUUACUGCUUGGGAGGACCAUGUCAUCACCGCAGGCUUUACUUUGUUUUAACAAAAAGGUCACUGUCUGUUUUCAUUGUCUGGCACCUCUGAGAAGAGUAGCAGAAAAAAGUUAAAGAAUAACUCAACUUUUUCACCCUGUGCCUGUGCCAAGCUGUUACGCACACAGUGCCACAGAGACAGAGGAAACAAAGUCAAGCGCAAAGAUGGCUGACGUGUCUCCACAGCAACCUCAGCGGCUCCAGCGCUGAGAUUUGAGGACUGGGAUCGGUUUGCGAUUCUCUAUAACAAAUUUAAAAAGUGCUAUCUGAACUUCCAGUUUCUAGCUUGACCUGUGAAGAAUCUGAAAGUCAUCACUCCCUGACUUCACAAGAGAAAAGGGUUUCUGGCUGGAGAGAAUCACUGAGAAUCAGGUGCCAGAGAAGGUUUCCUAAAGGGGAAGAAUUUAAGAGGAGUCUUGCAAGAUGAGUAGGUUUUGCCAGAAGAGGACAGAGAAUAUUAGGGGCUGAAAGAAACUGCCGAGAAAAGGGACAGGAGCUAUCAAUCAAGCAGAUGCUUCUCCCAGAGUCCCACCAGACUGUAGGCAUGACUGCUGUGCCUGUCCCAGAUGACCCCAGCUCCUCCAAGAGAUAUCUGCCUUGGCCACAGCAGACUCAAAGUUCGGACCAAUUCUGGAUGUCUCCACUCUGCUGCCACUCCUGAUGAUCCUGCCAUGUAACAUCCAGGGAGAAACGGAGGGAUCAGAUUUCUAGACCCAGUUCCAAGCACCUGAAGCAAGUCAAACGCUGCCCCAACACCUACUGGUCUUGCAGAAUUAUCUGCCGCAAGGACAGCGCCUCGGUGAGCGGCCCUCUGAGCGGCCCUCGUAGGGAUGCGCCCGCUCUCCCUCCAGGUGCCACACCUGUUGGCAAGGUGCAGAGAGGAUCCCUCCAUGCGGAGUCACCCGGCGGCGGACGGGCGGAGGGGACGCGGGCGAGGCGAAGGAGCUGAGAACCGCACUUAGCAAUUAAACCCAGAGGAAGUUCUUCGGCGUGGAUUCACAAGAACUGCUAUUUAACGCUCCGUUUACUUUCUCUAUCUCCUACACGGUUACCUCACUUCCGAUUAAAUUAAUGAUCCCGAAUUAGCCGCGAGAGGAGCCCGCGGGUCGUCUACCACGGCCACAGCGGAAUAGUUCAAAGCCCACAGCAGAUUUCCGGACGUGCAGAAACAGACAGGAGGGAGGGCCGGUGGUCGCUGGCUCUCCCGAGCAGGAAAGUGGCGGAGCAGUACAGGACCUGUUUCACUGCAGGGGGAUCCAAAAACAAGCCCGUGGAGCAGCAGCCAGACCAACAGCAGCCGCAGGACAUUGUUUCUCUCCCUCUGUGCCCCCGUCCCCACGCAACCCCAGAUCCAUUUACACUUUACAGAGCAUCGUGCAACAAGUCACCAGGGUGGUCCAUUCGUGCUGCGGAUUUGCCUGCCGUCCUUGGACCCCAGUCGCCUGCUCCACUGUCGCUGCAGGGAAGAGCAGCACAUGUCAGGUCACAGAACAGAAAGUGCUGGUGGACAUCUCUUCUUGCCCCAAGAUCUUCGUUGGAAGUCCUCCAGACUUGGUGUCUUAUUGAACUCGCCAGGAGGCAUAAUGUGUCACCAUUUUAUUGUGGGCCACCCUAAAGGAUGACACCCAGCUUCGGACACCUCCUGUUGGACAUCGUCCCCUGAGAGCCAAUGCUUUAACUCUCUCCCAUUGUCCGGAGUCUGUUUCCGACUGGUUUUGAGCUGGUGCGGGCUUAGUCAUUCAUGACCCGGACCCAGUUGAAUGUUGCUUGAUCACCUUUUGUCGCUUGCUGAACAGCACUUCCCUCUUGGGCUCUCGGGGAGUCUUUGCACCGACCCGCUAGAAACAAGGCACCUAUCCAUUCUUUCCAUCUUGGAGGUUGCCCACGGCCAUAUCCCGGGGUGACCUGGAGUAGAAGCAGUGGAGGAUAAAUUAAUUCAUCCUGCACAGACUUGUUUCAGCUAGUUCUAGCCUGUCUCUCGCCCCAGCUCCAGCUUUUAAAUAUGCCAGUGAUUGGUUUUGUGUAGGAAUGUGUGGAUUGUUGGAUUGGAAGAAUUCUCUCCCUGGAUUUCUAGUGUUUACAUAAGCAGAUAUUUAAAAAAUGUUCUAUCCCUGAUUUAAAUAGCAGGGGUUAUUUUUAAAAAGUUAUGGGCGCCUGAAGGGAUACAGAAUAAAAGCAUAAGUUUUGUUUUUUCUUUCUUACAAGUUGUAACGGAACCAAAAGGUGUAUGGUAAUGUUUUGUCAGGAAAAGGUCAAAACAGAAAGUUUGCAACAGAGACAAACUAGAAUAGAACAAGUGUGAAGAGAGGCUGACAAAUAUAUGCCCCUUGUUGGGAGUUCAGCCCGUGGAAUGUUAUGUAGGACACAAGGAAUGGAAGAGAUAUUUCAGUAACAUUUUGUUCUCUGUCAAAAACCUUCUGAAAUAUAAAUCUGCUGUGUAUUGGAGGAUGGAGACGGCAGUUGAUUCGAAUUGAAUGGCUUUCAUUUAACUAGAGUAUCCCACAGAAAGCAGUUCUUGUUCUGACAACUGUAUUUUUGCUUUCUUUGACCUAGCAAAAAUUGGAUUCCUGUUUACAUAUCUUGUAGGAUUGUUUUAUGGACAACGAUACAGGUCAAAUCCCAUCACAGUGGCCAGUGUUAUGGCAAAUAGAAAUAUUUCUAAAUGAAAUACAAACAUUUCUAAGCCACAGCCGGAGUAUGCAGUAAUAAUAAGUUGGUAAUAUGAAGCCAUUUGCAACUAUAAAUAAUUCAGUUGUAGAUGUGCUUUAAAAAAAACUGUCUUAUUUUAAUUCUAGUCUCUUGCCGACGCACACAAUCAUACACUUGUAGCUCACCUAUUUGCCUAGUAGAGGAGCAACAGGAAUAUAUAUAAUCGUAGAAGUCAACUUUAUUUUGAUCCCUGGAACAGGUUACUUUUUCUCUUCUCCUCACGAUGGUUUCUGUAAUUGCCUCCAACUGCCAAACUUUGGUGAUUACCCACAAAUAUGAAUGGCUCUUUCUAAGGGUCUUGCCCCGUCAUCCAACCGAGCCCAAAGCUAGUAGCCAGAGUUAGUGCUGUAAGGAGCUGAGCUUCAAAAUUAAGGGUCCUUUGCAAGGGGUGGUCUGAUUUGAUUAUCCAUUGUGCACCCCCCCAGGAGAAAGGAGGUGCUUAUUCUUUCGGUUUUAAAUCCCUGGAUCAAAGCAAGACAUGCUCGUGCAAGAGUUCAAGGCAGCUGGGGAAUUUAGUGUCUAAAAAAGGAGGGGGUGGAGAUAAAGUGUGAUGCUCCCCAGGUUCAGUCCUCAGUACUGCAAACAAGCAAACAGACAAACAGACCAUUCAUUCUGGCAUUGAUCCUGGCCUCAGAGUCCAGAAUCAGUGAGUUCAGUCUUAAUUUUUAGCAUUAACUAUUUUUUGAAUUAGUGAACCUUGCUUUAUUGUUAUGCCUAUGAGAGGACAACUUUCUUUUUAUUUUUAUUAACUCAUGUUAAUUGUACACAUUCACUUGGGCAUUUCCAUGUUAAUUGUACACAUUCACUUGGGUUCCACUUGGGUAUUUCUAUCCAUGCAUAUAUCUUGCCUUGAUCAUUCCCACUUUUAAACACAGUAAGUCAGACACAGGAAGACAGGUGUCGGGUGUUUUCUUUCAUAUAUGGAGACUGGGAAAAAGAGAUCUGAAAGUAGAGAGGGAUCUAUUAGGGAAUAGGAAGCGUUAACUAUUACUCCUGAACUACUCUCUAUAGUUUUUGAUUCAGUACACUCUGAGGUUCCCCCAGAUCCCUUAUGGACUAAAAUACAGAAUAUCCAUUUUUUUAAUGGGAGGGUCUAACUAUGUUCCCCUGGCUAGUCUCAAACUCCUGGGCUCAAGUGAUCCUCCUGUUUCAGCCUUGCAAGCAAGUGGGAGUACAGGGGCAUGACGCCAUGCCUGGCUAUAAAUACAGCUAUUGUAACACAGCAGAAUUGAUGAUCAAGAGAGAGCUCUAGAAAUAAAGGCCCCCUAGGUUUUAACCUUCUAUCUUCAAAGUUCUUGUCUGCAUGCCUUAUAUUUUAUUUCCUCUCUGUUUAUACUAAUUUAUACUUGUGUUUAUUGUUUUCUUACUUAAAAACUACUUGAAAAAAAUUCAUAGCCCUUACAAAUUUGAAAGCAUCUCAACCUAUUCAUCCUUCUUACCUUGGCCAUCUUUUGUCAUCGCUAGGCCACUUCUUCCCUUCCUACUUCUCUUCUGGGAUUUCACUGCUUAGCAGUUCCAGUGUAUGAUUCUGGAUAUGAUGGUUUGAGCUUCCUGACCAACGUCUCUUUGCAGCUGAGUCUAUUCCCUGUGCUCAAAGCUGUUGGCAUAUUCCAUUCACAGCUCCUACUCAAAUUGAAACUUGUUGCACUCAGAUCAGGCCUUAGCACUAUUAAUUUCUUCCUCUCUAUUUCUCGAUCCAUUGUUAUUUCCCAGUGACUAAAAUCUGCUUGUCACUAAGAACUUCAUUUUGAUGUCACUUACUAAAGACCUCUUGGAUUUUUCUACUCUCCUGAUACGCUUCACAGCUUCACGCUACAACGACCAUCAACAGGUCUUUGACAAAUUAGUUGUCCCUACAUGUGAUUUACAAUAUUACACUGGCUGUUUAAAAAUUAUUAAACUUCUCUCUGUGUACUUUGCUGUGGGUCAAGAACUUUACUUGUUUUGCCAUCCAACACAGAAGUUAAUCACAAACGGGUCCUCUAAACCAGAUAAUUAAAAAUAGAGCAAAGUUUCUGAACUAGGCAUUUGGCACAAAAGUUCUCACUUCCAUCUGUGCGUGGUUAGGAAAAUAUUUCAUGAUAUUUAAAUAGCAUUAGCUUUGCUCUCUUGUGUGAGAGUGUCUGUGAGUCUGUGUGUAAUUCAUUGCUCUGGAGGUUUAUUUGACUGUUAGCUAAUCUUAUGUUUUUUUAAAGUCACUGGCAAGGAAACAGGAAAGCAAAUCCAGGUGUUUUGUGCCUGCUUUCUUUAUUUGCUAGCUUCUGUGAAGGAACAGUGGUCCGCUCUGGCUUUUCUCUUUAACUCAUAGUUUUCCUCCUACAUGUGGUUCAGAAAAUGAAAGAGCAUACAUUUUGAUUUAUAAAUCUUUGUGUGUUUUAAUUCUCCACAUACAAGUCACCUUUGCUAAAGGCUUUUUAGGAGCUAUUCUGAUAGACGCAAAAUGCUGAUGAAUCUGUUUCAAUUUGGAAUGUGUCAGAUUAGGAUUUUUUUGCUCUCUGGAAAGGGGAUUGAUGCCUAGAAUGUACAGCAGACUCAUAAACACUUUGUGACUUAAACACAGACAUGUGAGUGACUGGAUUGAAGAGGAAUUUAAUCCUUCAACUUCGACUGUGCUUUGUUCUCAUAAGUAAUCAGUAUCUCCUAAAAUAUAUUCACCAGUUCUGUAGCUGUGAUUAGAUUUUAAAAGUGCACUGUCUGUUUAUAAGGUUUAAAUUGCUAAAUAAUACAAAGGUUAUACCUUUCUGGUAUUUUUCUGUUGCAAUCAUCCCUUUAUUCCUGGAAAACUCUUAUUUUAAGGUUGGUUUCUUUUUUCCAGGAGAGUUGUUGUAUUAAAUAACACUAAUGCCCCGUAAAUAUACUAAAGAUUAGGAAUUAUUUUUAAAAAUGUCUUUCAUACCUCCAGCUCUGAAGUGUAUAUAUGUAUGUAUUUCUCAGAGUUGUUAGUUUGCUUAUGUUUCUAGAAACUAGAGAGUAGGCAUAUUCCUAAUACUAUAAUAAUAAAAUUAAACACUGAAGUCAAAAGCAGAGGAUUGAUCAUGCUCAUAUUAAUUGAAAUUAAGAAAGGAGAAGUAGCUUCAAUCAUUUUCAUUAGCAGUGGUGGGUUCUUGUGUUUAGCUCUCCAUGCUGGUUUGAUUAUUUAGGCAGUUUGUCAUUCAUGAAAUUUAAAAUCAGAAGGAACCUUAAACAUUUUUUUGUCCAACUUCCUCAUUUUACAUUCCAGUUAAUUCUGUUCAUUUCUGUGUGCAAAGCAGUGGGCUAGGAGGGAGCAAUAAAGUUGACUUAAGUUGUGACUCAUGGCUUCCGACAAAUUAAUCUUUGAUUUUCUUUUCUGUAUUAUUCAAGGGACAACUUUUAACAAGGCAUAAGUGAAUUUUGCCAAUUGUUAUUCUUGGUCAGUGUAAGAAAUUAGGGAUGAAUGUAUUUUGUGAGCUCUGGUGAAUGAAAGAUGUCUUUAUACUUCAGGGUCCUGCUGAACUGUAGACCGUCCCAAGACAGAAUUCUGGUCUUCUCUUCUACAAGACAACCAGCACUGCUAAUAUUAAAGAGACUCCCCCCAAAUGUGCCCGAUAUUCAUGUUCUUCACACUUUUGCUGUGGAACCCUUACAGUGUUUCUUCCGUUUAUUUGGGCACCUCUGAUACUGACAUCUGGUAUUUCACUUACAAGAGCCGAAUUUCAUGAUUGAUAUUCUUAUCCCAUAAAUCAUUGUUAGUAAAUAUUAUUUACUAGACUUGUGAUCGAAAACACAACAUAUAGUGUACACACUCAAGAAUGGUCACAGUGCAGAGAAGCUGCUGGUCUUUUAAUAAGAAUGACGCCCCCAGCUGACAUGCUGGGGACUGAGGAUGUGUCAGCCACUAGGUGUGAUCACCUAAUCCUCACCGCUAACCAGAUAGUUCCUUAUUAUCUCUAGCUAAAAGAUAAGUAACUGGGUUAGUAGUUUGCUCAAGGUCACAGAGCUGGUAAAUGGUAAGAUGGGGAUUUAACACCUGCCAUUUUAACCCCAGCCCCUCCGCUCAGAAGGAAUAUAAAAUUUAUUACUUACCACCUGGUGCCAUGGUGAGACUUGCAAAAUUAUUUUCAAAAACUUUUUUUUUUUUUGGUACUGGGGAUCGAACUCAGGUCCUUGCACUUGUGCAGCAGCCGUUGAAACCACUGAGCUAAAUUCCCAGCCCUACAAAUUUUUAAUAAGUGAAGAGGUAUUCAUUUUUUGGUUGCAAAUUGAACUCUUGCAUAAGUUUUUCUAAGGACUAUGAUUUGGUAGGAGGAGGUUCCAAUUUAGUCCAGUCUUAGCUGUUUGAGACUUAGAACUAUGUUAUGUUUAAAUUACUUCCAUGUUCUUACAAAAAUAUAAUUAAUUUAUAAAGAUGAAGAAGAACUACAUCUAGCUAAAUGUAAAAGUGUUUAUAAACUGGAUGCAGUAGUGCAUGCCUCUAAUCCCGGCACUCUGGGAGGCUGAGAUAGAAGAAUCUCAAGCUCCAGCCCAGUCUGAGCAUUUAGUGAGACCCUGUCUUAAAACUUAAAAAAAGGAGGGUAGGGGCGGGAUGUGGUUCAGUGUGAAGGUACCAAGUUUAAUCCAUAGUACUGCAAAAAACCAAAACAAAACAAAGCCUUAUAAAGUCUUUUGUGUGUAAAUUUUUUUUUUGUAUUAAAUUCUUUUAUUGGUACAUUGUAGGUAUACAACACAAUUACAUUUCUCAUUGGGAAUUGUACCUUUAUAUAAUGCAUCUUGGUUCUUAUUUUUUCCCCAUUCCUAGCCCUCCCUUCACGCCCUCCACCCUUCCCUAUUUACAAUUUUGUGUGUAAAUUUAUAUAGUCAUUUCCAUAAUCACGUUUACAUAUGUAUGUUAUAGUUACAUGUAUUUGUAUGUGUAAAUAUAGUAUGCACCCUUUAUAGAACUGAUGUUGAGGAACUCUAAGGAACCAGCUAUAUGAUUUGGAGUUUUAUCAAAUGGAGUGAAAUUUUCAAUGAUUAUGAUUUGGUCUGUAAAAAUAGGAAUAAUGAGAUCAAAGUGUAUAUGUCUACUUUUAUCUUCUAUCUCUUGUCUUUUUUGCUUAGAAACAAAUUUAUGUCGAAACAGUGUACCUAUGAACCUUCAUAUAUGAAAAAAAGAGCUACACAAGACACUUUGUUGCAGUUUGUCCAGGGUCUCAAAACAUGCUGUAAAAACUUGGAAACUGGAAGCAUCUUGGCAAAUGUAGCAUCAGCGUGUCACUGAUUUCGAAGCUUCUGUUGAGUAUUCUAAGUAGGUUCUGUGACAGCUCUUACUAGAGGAAUUGGUACCAGCUAAGAAAAUGUACAGUUUAAUACUUUAGAGCAAAUAAUUGCUUAGGAUGCCUUAAAUAGCACAGGAAAUGUGUAGAGUGUUUACUUGACAUUUGCUCUAUCGAACACUAAUACUGAAACAGAUUCUUCGACCACAGAGAACGCUGGUGUAGGUGGGGUGGGGGUGGACGGGAGAAAGAGGCAGAGAAAAAACAGCCAACACGAAGAGAUAAAAAGUAAAUGGCAAAUUAGUUUUUGUUUUUUUUCACUAUAUGGAGAUACCAGGAAAAUAAAAGCCCACUUGUUUGAUCCAGUGGCUUUGGAGUGUGGUAGAAAAAAGCAAAGGACAUAGAACUCUCUAGGAUUAGGUUUCUCCCUUGAAAGGUUGUCUUCACCUGGCCUUCAAAAGCCCUGUAGCCCCUGGGUGACCUGGUUUGUUUUUUAAAUCUUGAAAGCAAGAGGAAUGACCUCCCUUAAAAAAAAAAAAAAGAAGAAGGAGAAGGAGAAGGAGAGGAAAUUCCUCUUGUUAUCUGUUUAAUCUGCACAUGCUUGUGCACUUUUUUUUUAAAUGACAGCUCUGGCGCCCUCAUUUCUCAGUGUGGCUCAGUAUUUCUUGAGUUUUUCCCCCAAAUGCUUCUUGCUCUUUAGUGUUCUCGUCUCACUUCGCUGGCACUGUUCAAGUGGGACUUAUCUUACAAUGGGGUCUGGGUCAGUUUAGUGUAGCUCAGAAGUGCAGAGCAUUUUUUUUUUUUUUUUGCACAAACUGGUUACAAAGCACUGUGACUCGGUUGCAUUUAAUAAGAAAAAGUAGGGGAUAGUUUAGGAAACUGAGCCCUUUUCCAUUCAUAGGUUUGCCUCAACUCUGCAGCGUCUUUAAGGGAAUUUUAAAUGCAUCUGGUAAAAGCCAAUAGGCAAGCACACAGGAUGGGCUCAGGAAUGUGGAAUUGUGCAAUGUUAAUGAAAUCUGUUAGAAGCAUCCUCUUUUCUGUCUCCUCAACAGGAGCUGGUUUUAAAUACUCAAGGGAAUUUUGUAAACGAUGAUCCAAAGUCAGAACUUCCCCCUGCAGGUUAGCCCAGCGUCUACAACGCUCAGCAGAGGAAACGCUGUAUUUAUGGCUUUUCCCUGGAGUUGUGAUUUGACCUUGAAUAAAUCGUGUUCAACUUCUCGAUGCUUCAGUUAGCCUUUGAAAGAUAUGUGUGGUUGUGGAUGGCCUGUGGGAAGGCAGUAACUGAAGUUCACAACAGAAGGGGGACUUCAAGGAAAAUUUUAUUUGGAAAGAGCUGUGGGUAUGAAAGGAACCCUUAUGCAGGGGGCUAUUGGUGAACAAUCUUGCCAUGUGUGGCUCCUAAGUAAGGCAGGGGGUUUUCUUUUAACAAUCUUACUAUAUUUUAUAGAAUUAAAAUUUACAUAUAGAUUGUUUUAUAUUAUGUUAUGUUUACUAUAUAUUUUUAUUGGUUUAUCCUUUAACUCCAGAAAGAUUUGUGUUCAUACAUCUUCUACCUGUAAUGGGAUUUUUAUUUAUAAUGUUACAGUUUAAAUUGUAAUCAAGCAGUAACACAUUUUGUUUAAUAUGCAAAGACCUUUAAUUUUAUUUUGCAGAAGAAAGUCUAAGCCAGUUGUUUAAAAAGUUGCCUUGGAGAAGAUCUAAGUGGUUUUUCAUUCAUUUGGAGAGAGAGGGAGGAAAGUCAUCAGUAUUUAUUGAGCACCUACCCCGUGCCAGAUACAUUGCUACUAUGUGCCAUGUGUAUAUCCUGUGUGAUUUAUAUUCAUAGUGUCUUCCUUUUUAAGUGUAUCAGGGCUCAGUUAGGAGGGCCAGAAUCCAUAGGAAAAAAUGAAAUAUACCUAUUGUUAUGGAUAAUUAAAAAGAGGACUUUUUAGUUAGUAGCACUCAAAGCUCCAUAUCAUAAUGUAGGGCUGUGAGUUCCCCAUAAACCAAUUGCGGGUAGGUCCUCCAGCUCUGAGACCUCCCAGUGGUUGAGCGGGAUUGCAACACAGGGCUAAACCACAUCUCCCUGGUUAAGUCAUUUCAGUUAUUGCCUCAUUUAAGUUGCAUUGUUUUAAAAAGGAUGUAGGCACUCCAAGUUGCAGUGCCUCAAAUUUGAGCAAAAGAAUACAGACUUUGAAUGUAUUCCGAGCUUGGCUCUGGAGUCCUGGCUGCAGUAAAUACAAAAGCCAACAGCUCCAAGUUUAGAUGAGAAAACAUUUCAAAGAAAGCCAGAGAAGGCUUAUAUAUUUAACACAAUAUCCAUGACUCACUUUCUCUUUGCUCUGUCUGUCCAGCCGUUAUUCAUUCACUGCUAACCCCACAGGAAGGCUCCUUUUGAAGUUCCCUUUGGCUGCUUUGCAAGCCAUAUAAAUAUACACCUUAGGAGAAUAAGGGUGAGGGAAAAGAGACAGAGGUCACCAUUUUUAAUCCUGGUGCUGCCGAUAACAAACUAUGUGACCAGAUACUUAGACAGCAAGGGAGGAUGUUUUUAAAAUUCGUUCUCAGCUGCCAGGAGGCAGUUAUCAUUCUGUAAAAGGGCUUGUUUUGGGGUUUCUCAGAAGUCUGUAGAGUUUGGGUUGUGGAGGUUCCUGCAGGACUUUCUUGGUGGAUCAGCCUUAACAGGUGCGUAGAAGUAGCUCUGGGGGUGCAACAACACCUUCACAACCCUUAGCAGUUAUGCAUGUUGAAAUGUCACACUGUACUCCACCAAUAUGUGCAAUUACUGUGAGUCAGUUAAAAAUAAAACUAUAUUUUACGAAAGGACCCUUAGAGGUUAGGGCUAGACUGUCAGAAGAACUGAAAGGAAUAAAGUUUGUGUAAUGGGGAAGCAGAUACCAAGCUAUUCAGAAGCUACCACCCACACUUAGAAGGUUGUGUCUGGGUGAUGGGGUGUAGCUGAGUGUUCUGGAAGUGUGGGUCACACUUGUGGUUUGAAUGCCAGCCCCCGCACUGACCUUCUUGGCCAGCUCUUUGUGCCACAGUCUCUUCCUCUGCAGAUUGAGAAGAUCAUCAACACGCAGGCAAAAUGAGUCAGUGUAUGUACCAGUCCUAGAAGAGCACUGGGCAGCUAGAAAGUGCUAUCGACGCUACUACUGUCAUCACGUCUCUCUUCUUGGGUGUUUUCUAAUUUGUGUUGCAUUUAGGGUGGGUUACCAGGGUGAUGGUGGGGGUUGGGAUGGUGAGAGGGAGAUCUAGGGCUGUAGAGAGUGUGGCAGAGCCUGGUUCCAAGUGCUGUUUAUUUCUGAUCACCCGGCUCUGCUCACACAGCGCCAGAUCCCUCCCUUCACCUGUCCAUAUCCUACCUCACUGUCCAUAGGCAGCAUGAGCCUCUUUGUCUCUAGGGUACAAAGGUUUCCCCAGCUCCUGCAGCCCAGGUGAACCUCCCUCCCCACUGCCCUCAGCUCCCAGGUAUCUGUCUGCACAGCUCCUUUGACCAUAUCAUGCAGUGAUCCAUCUUGUCGCUGAGAUGUCUUGAUUCCCGGGCCCUCUCCUUGUGACUGGAGACCUUCACCUCCUCUCAACAUCCAGGGUGGUGUGGCAGGGAAGGGACCUGCCACCUUCUCCAGCUCUCUCUCUGUCCUGAGCCCAGCAUGCUCGAGAUUUUUGAUGUCUGGAAGCUCAGAACCUUCUCAUGCAAGAUGAGGGUCUAGACAAAAUGAUCUCUGCAUCUGUUCUUGUAGAUUUCUGGUGUUGGAGUACUAGGUGGUGGCGAAAUCCAUGUCAGAUGGAUGAAUGAAUGAAGUACAAUCCCAAGGUGCUCAGUUAAAUUACACUUGUGCUCACUAGCUUAUCUGCUUGGUGAAGGGAGGAAAUGGUCUCAGUGACGAAUUUUUCACUUUUAGUGCACAGAAAUCUUGUUUGUUUUGACACUUUUGGAGUGUGAAUUCUUGUCCACAUUGAGUUCAUAUUUAUAUUAGUAAGUUGUCUAUAAAGAAAUUAUUUUUGUGCUAAAGAUAAUAUAAAUAAUGACACAGCUAGUAAAUGUGUUUUUAAGCACAUUAGAAGUCUUUGCAUGCAGUUUAUUGUGUAUAUUAUAGUACAAAAUUAUGUAAAAUACAAUUAUAUAAGCUCUUUUUGUUCAUGAAAUAAUUUGAUCAUUUAAAAAUUCUUCUAUGAGUACUUAAGAGAUUUAAAACUAUCUCCUCUUAAAACUUUGUAACUUGUAGCUGUCUUCCUAUUUGUAUCAGGUGCCUUCUCUGAACCCUAUUUACUCAGUAUAUACUAUUAUUUCUUGUAUGUUCAAAUAAUUGGAAGAGAUGCCGGUUGAAGUCUUCAACAUCAAAUCCCAAUUUGGAAUUAUUUGUGUUUUAUUUAUUCUUUUUUUUCCCUAAUAACAGUAUCUGACCCCUAAAUAAUGCUCUUUUAUCAUAUAUAUAUAUAUAUAUAUUUUUUUUUUUUUGGUACCAGGGAUCGAACUCAGGUCCUUGCGCUUGCGCAGCAGGCGGCAAAACCACUGAGCUAAAUCCCCAGCCCUCCUUUAUCAUAUUUAAUGCAUUUCUUUGCAUUAUAUUUGCUGACAUUUGCAAGUUUUAAACAAUGAGGAAAGAUUUUGAACAUAAUGAUCUUAAUUUACUUGCUUAACUUACUAGGGAGAUCACUUACAACCUUCUUUGUACAUACUGUAACCUCAGAGCAGUGACCUCAGAAUCAAGAAGGGUUUGAGGUGCUAAGUUACUGGUUUUUAAAACUGUUAUCUCUUUUUGGAAAAUGAUAGUUUUUAUAAGAUUUGUCAUACUAGUUUAGACUAAGUAGUGAGUGCGUUUGGUGUCUAAUUAGGCUCCAGAUGGCUUAAACUCUUUGAAGAGCCACCUGAAGCAGGACCCUGUUAAGAAAUUAUUCCAUGUCCCACAUAAUCAUGUUCAAGAGGCCUUAGUAAUUUGUGUUUAAAAAUGAUCACUGGGGGCUGGGGAUUUAGCUCAGUGGUUUCGAUGCCUGCUGCGCAAGCACAAGGACCCAAGUUCGAUCCCCAGUACCAAAAAGAUAAUUGGCAUGGUCCCCAAAGAGUUCUACCUUAGUGUUUUAAUUCAGCAUUGUUACUAAGGUACAUAUUCGAAUCUCAAUAUUAUUGGUCAGAACCGGGGCCUCGUAGCUUUUUAACAUUCACAGAGUAUAGGAAGCACCUCCUACGGUGCCAUGUUAAUAUGGCGACCGAGUUCAGGAUUGUGACCAGGAGGAAGAGGAAUGUGGGUAAUACUGGGGAGGGAAACUGGCAAACUUGUGGGCCACAGAAAUAUCAGUCCCUCUGUUUAGCAAAUAUUUACCAACCACCUCUUCAUACGAUUUGCUGUUUGUGUGUUUGGAUCUGAAAGUCUUAGAAGAUCUAUAUUCAGUCUUUUCUCUUAGAUGUACUUGGGCUUGCUUAAAUGCUCCCUUUCCCCUCUUUUUUCUUUUAAAAUGAUGCAGGAAAAUGUUGGAGUAAAUGUUGUCAACUUGGGUAGAGCUGGUUUUCCCCCUUAUCUGGGCAUAAAUCAGUAUUACAGGAGAGAAUGAGGAAGUAGUAGGUUCUGGCUAAAUAUGCACCAGUGCCAGGGAUUGUUGACCUCACUGAUUCCAGGAAGGGAAAAAAGAGUUUAAAAUAAGUUAUUUCAACCAAGAUGAUUUUCUAAAUUUGGUUUCUGAUGUGAUAACUGGGUGGAGCUACAUUUGUUUCACCUCAACCAGUUUACCCUAACUUGACUGGGGGAGAGUUUCUGAAACCUCCAUCUCUUUAGCAGUGAGUCAUCUCCAUGCUGCUGAGACAUUUUCUAGCCUUUAUUGCUGUGUGUAGUUCAAGCUUUUCUCUGGAUGUUUUGACUCCUUAAGAAACUCGCAAUAACAAAUUAACAAUCACACUCCUCUGGAAUGAAAACAUGCAGUAGUGGAGUAAUAAAUAGCAGUUUUGGAAGCCUGAAUAAACACAAAACUCAGCUCCUGGACUGGAGAAGGCUCUAGAGGACUCCAGUGUCCGACAGAUCCAAGCAAGAACACCGUUUAUAUCAAAGAGACAUGAGUGUAUUUUUUCAUUGUAUUUUCUGACAGAUUGUAUUGUAAAACCAUAUAGCCACUUUCAUUCUCUAAAAUUUAAGUUAUUUUUAGUCAUCCUACCUGCCUGAUCUCCAAUGAAUUUCUUUUUCUAGUACUGGGGAUUGAACCCAGGGCCUUCACAUUGAGCUAUAUCUUCUGCCCCCUUUAGUUUUUAUUUUUGAGACAGGAUCUUGCUAAGUUACUCAGGCUGGGUUUGAACUUUUGAUUCUCCUGCCUCAGCCUCCCAGAGUGCUGGGAUCACAGGCAUGCACUACUCUGCCUAGUUCUAAGUGGACCAUAAUGCAGUUAAUAGGGUAGACAUUAAAAUAAGGUGCAGCAUUUCUUUGGGGAACUCGUGUUGGUCUGGGCUGCUUCACUUUCUCUGAUGAAACCAGGAAUAGUAACAAGGCAAUGCUGCCUGCCCACUGUGAUUCCCACACAGCCCCGUGCUGAGUGGCUGUCCCCACAGUCCAUGAACAGCCCAGGGCUGAGUUGUUGUCCCAUGGGAAUUUGUAGAUCACAACAAGGUCCUACACAAACAACUCUGGUGGCUACUUCUUCCCCAACCGUGGGGUUGCAAGCUCCGGGUGUGUAUCUAGAUGCUGUAGUGGAGAGUCCAUCCCCAGGGGUGGGUGAACUCUGAGUUGCAGUGGAGGCCAACAUCAUGAAAGAUCUGAUAGCUCCUUCCUUGCUAUACACAGUUCGAAGAAAAGUUGGACAUCCAUGGAAUCUGAAGAACUUGUGCUUUGAAAUUCCAGCUAAUGUCUAAAGAACUCUCCAAGAUUUCACGAAUUUUCUUUCAAUUUAUAAAUACUGAGGUAUUGGGGCUUAGUGACUUUUCUUUUCCUCUCCUUGCCCAUUCCAGUUCCUCAUGAAAUUUUCCCAGAUUUAGACAAGCUGCACCGUGAAGGGGACCACCAUUCACUCUGUGCCUAAGGCAGUGGAGUGAGUCCUUUCCUACCUGGCUGGAAAAGCUGAUGGGGCAGAAUUUCAGUCUGAGGCUUGUGAGUCAGACCGAGGGCAAGAUUGAAAUGUUAUUAACAUGAGAAAAAUCUUUUGAACAUGAAGUCAUCAUGCUUGAGGUUACUUUGAACUUUCCUCAUAGUCUCUUUUCUGAUUUGUACUAGAAUCAACAUGCUUCAGCUUUAUGCUAAGAAGCAUGGUGGAGUAGAAGUGGACAUGAAUUUGCAAUUGUGUGAUAGCCAGAGACUUUCAGAUUGUAGAAAUGCUGUGCUGUGAUAAAGAUUUACUUGGCUUGUGGGCUAUUUUUUAAUGGCUUUUGGGUUCAGGAAUUUUGAAAAAGUCAGAUUCUUUGUAAUUUAAAUUUCCUUCUAAGCGAGGAAGUACACUAUGUUAUUAGUUUUAAAUAUAUAUAUACUUAGAAGUUAAAAUUGUGUAAUUAUCUUAAUGCUCCAGAGCUUCUUUUGUGACUAAACAUUGGAACUUAUUCUGUUGAAUGCAGGGAAUUUGUCCAGAAAAGCUUAAGGAAAUUUAGCCUACACAGGGAAAUUUGCUAGAUGUAUAAAUAAAGGUUUAACUAAAAAGGUGAUGCACACACAAAUUUACUUUAUCUGUGAAAGAUCAUGUUUGAGCUUUGACUCUUUGUCCUCUUUUUAGGACUAAGUAAUAAUUGUAGGUUUUUGUAGUUGAUUUAUAGUAGUGGGUUGUGUGCAGGAUGACUGUAAGUAAUGGAUCUCAUUUCAAUUGCACAAGGACAGGUUGUUUUUAAUUCACAAAAAUUAUUAUUAUCAUUAUUAAUUAUUAUUAUUAAUUAUUAUUAUUAUUAUUUUUUGGUACUGGGGAUUGAACUCAGGUCCUUGCGCUUGCGCAGCAGGCAGCGAAACCACUGAGCUAAAUCCCUGGUGCCCCAAAAUUAUUUUUUGUAAGUGUAAAUGUCCCUAGAGAUGGUAUACCUGGAAUCUUAAAAUAAAAAUAAAAAUAAUAAAGUAUGCUGUCCUAUCUUAGAAGGAAGACUUGUCCCAUUGGAAAAUAACUUUAAAUAACUCAAGGUUUAGAAUUUUUACUUGAAAUAAUUUGUAAAUCAUGGCAAUGGCUUUUAAUCCUUAAGGAGAAUUCUUCUUUAUUUCUGAGAAGACUGGGUAAAUGUUUAUAAGAACAUAGCCUUGAGUAUUUUAAGUGUAGCAAACCAACAAUAAAGACAGUUUUAUGCAUGAUAACAUACAUUCAGAGUUGCUAGGUACAAAUACCUUGUUCCUUUUUUGGAAGAGAAUUCCUGUGUUUGUGUGUGUGUGCAUGUGCGCAUGUAUGCAUGCGCAUGCAUGUGGAUGUGUGCGUGUGCGAGCAUGUAUGUGUGUGUGUGUUUGUGUGUGUGUGUGUUUUAAACUCUUAAACAUAACAGAUCUUUGGGGCCAGAAUGGUAAACUUGUAUUGUUACUUACACCGCAUACCCAGAUUAAAGAAAGCAACAGUGUAUUUCGGCCUUAACAAGUUAGAUGCGUUAACUUACUAAAGAACCUGAGUAAUACAGCCUUAAUUUUUAUCAUAGGAAAUAUGAAUCCUGUUUGAUAGAGUGGAUAUGGAGUCAGGUUUGAUAACUGUUUUGACUCAGAGACUUUAUAAUUUGACAUGCUUUCCUUGUAUGCCUGUAGAUUUUUCCAGUUAUUUUGGACUUCUUUCAUUAUUUACUAUGAGCUCAGCACUCAUGUACACAUAGCCAACAAAAGCAAUAGUUAGAUGGCUUCAUGUACAGAAUAUGUUUUAUUGAACAAAAAGGGAAAAAUUCCUCUUGUUUGUAAUUAGCCCAUAAUCAGUAAGCCCUUCUAUUGGCUUUCAUCCAUUUAAAUAUAUUUUUUCCUUUGUAACUUCACACACGCCAAGCAUAUAAAUGCAUUUUUGAAUUUAAAACAGAUCGUUUUAGUAAAACUGGAAACUCAACGUUUCAUUUACUUGUAAAGUUUCUAAUCAUUCCCACUUGCUGGUCUUUGAGCCCUUUCUCAGCACCAGGAGGCCAGGGUUCAUAUAUACAGCUCCCUUUCUGGGGUCCUGACUGCUCACUGCUGCAGAGCGUCUGGGGGGGGACUCUGUAACGUGCACUUGAAGCUGUGGUCUCAGCCCUAGUCUGUGCUGGGUGGUUUGGAAGGCGAUAGAGCUUCCUGGCGCCUCACCUGCAGGCUGGCUCACAGGAGAAAUGUGCACAGGGAGCCAGGUGGAGGCUGUGUGGAUGCGUCUUUUCGCUGAUGCUCGUAGAGGGUGGUUGGCACUUCUUCAUUUUGGGUCAUUGAACUUUUCCAGAAUGUUCUCUUGGGCUCUCCAGACAUGGUAUCACAGCAUGACAUUGUAUGUAUAGAUAUUUCUCUGGGGAGGAGUUUGUAGCUUUCGUCAGAUCCUCAAAGAGUUCUCUGCUCUCGAACAAUCUGUAAGAACCACACUCAUUUAGAAUUGAGAGAUUUGGACAUCUUCUGAGGAAAAUGAGUAAAAGAGAUACUCAUAAAGGCUGAGUUACAGAAAACAACAUUUUUUUUUUCUGUACUGGGGAUCAAACUCAAGUUCUUGCGCUUGCACAACAGGCGGCGAAACCACUGAGCUAAAUCCCCCAGCCCCAGAAAACAACAUUUUUUAAUCUAUCAAACAUAACCAUGACAUGGCUGCAUGUUGAACUAUAUUAAGUCAACCUUGCAAGCAUACCUGGUCCAUGCUCAAAAUGUUUUAUUUUGAAAUAAUGGAAAUAAUGUGUGGGAACUUGUAGCAUCCAGGUUUGGAGGGAUACGUACCCACAGCCUUGUUGAUGAUAGCACUGAAUUUUUAUCUGUGUUAGAAAUUGCUCAGCAUGAGACAAAGGAGGUGCAUUUGGGGACACAUAUGUGAUUGAGUGAAGACAAAUAGCAAUCUUGAGAGCCCAGUCUUUUGCUUAGCAUUUGUAUCAAAAGGUGUACAGAGCAGGAAUGGUUUGGAAGCGAGAAGCUGGUUAUCCUGGGGUGUGCUAAGCACAAGUUGCAUAUUCCUGUACAUCUGCACAACAUUUGACAGUCUGCAAAACAAGCUUGAUAAGGACAUUGUGUCUGGGUUCUAGCUGUUACUCUGCGAGCACAAUUUCUGGCCUGUACAAUAGCCAAAGAAUGAUUUUGUUGAAUUAAGUUACUUCGAUUGUUUCUCAUGGCAGCCUUCCAGAUAGAGCAGAUUGUAUCAUUUUUGCUUACAGGGUAUAAGGAGCCACUACCUACCUAAGGUCACAUGGCCCAUAGGUAAAGGAUUUAGGGCUCUCCUUUGCAUGCUGUAGCUCAGCCCAACUAAUAAAGAUGCCAUAGUUUGAUCAAUUAAGUUUUAAUGCAGGAGAGUUGGGGAGAGGCUAUAAACCUGCAAUAUCCUCAGAAAUACUAGUAACAUGGUGGACUUAACAACAGAGAAAGAUCUUAAGCCAGUACAUCUGUAUGGUGCUAUCAUGUCAGCUUUUCACAAUUUGGUGGAAGACUACAAAAAUAAUUGAUUUCUCCCCCCCCCCACCCGCCAAUCCCCACUUCGAAUUGAACCCAUGGUUUUUGCAGUGAGCUACAUCCCCAGUGCUUUUUGUUUUUUAUUUUGAUACCGGCUCUUUGUAAGUCGCUAAGUUGGCCAGGGGAUAUAAUAAGAAACAAGAUGAUCUAAGUUCCUGUUGUCAGAGUGGACCUUUUCUGAGGGGUGACAAAUGACAAAAAAUCAAGUAAGAUUAGGGGAAAGAGUGAUGUUGGGACUGGGAAUUUAUUUACUUGGUGGAGUCAGAGAAAAUCUCUCGUGGGAUAGACUUCUUGAGGUGGUGAAUCAGGGGAGGGUUGUGUCCUCUUGUCUCUUACAAGAGCCCUGGUCAUUGGACUUAGGGUCUACCUGGGUAAAUCCAGGAUGAUCUCGCCUAGAGGUCCUUAAUUACCUCUGCAGUGAUCCCCUUUUUACUAUAAGGUCAUAUUCACAAAUUCUGGGCUAUAAACACAAUUUUGGGAGAAGCCACCUUUCAACACAUUAGAGGAAACACCGAAAGGUUUUAAGUAGGAAGAAUGGUAGCAUCCACUCUGUUUUAAAAAGAUCACUCUGAUGCUGUGUUGAGAAUGGUUACAGGUGAACCUCAACUUUAGGACUCAAGGAGACCAUCUGGGGGCUGUGGGAGUAACCCAGCUGAGAUGUGGGGGAGGAGAGAUGGACAGAGGCGGAUUUCAGUCUGUGUUACAGCUGAGGAUGGAUUAGAAGUAGCAGGUAAGGAAAAGAAAAAUCCAGAGUGCUUGCUAGGUGGAUAGUAGUGCCCUUCACUGAAAAGGAAAAGACUGGUUUAGGGAUAGGCUGGGACAGUGCUGGUGACAUCUGGAUGAACUUUGAGAAGUGGAGAUGUUAGACCUUAAUUUAGAUACACCGCUCUGUAGCCCAGUGGAUGGAUAAGCUUGAGUGCUGUUGCACUAGAGAGAGUGAUACUUAAAGCCGUGGGGCUGGACAUGUGCAUCUAAGCAGACAGGGUGAUGCAGGGGUCUUCACAGGGGUGAAGACAUGAUUCAGUCCUCCAGGAUUAUGGAGGUCACCGUGCUGGUGUCCAUUGGUUUCAGUCUCAUCCCGAGCCCCUGAUGUAAAUGUCAGAGCCUAACACAGAGAGGAAGGUGGAAUCCAGGCCAUCAGGAGAGCCUGUCUCUGUUGUCGUGGGCUAUCACAAAGGCUACUGUGUCGUUGACUUUCAUUUUGUAAUUGUCAUUGGUUUCUUUAUAAUCUUUCAUUCUAUGCCCGACAUGCCUGAUUGGCAGAUUUGCUGUCUGAUUUUUUUAGUUUUAGAUUAUGUGCUUUUUCUUCAAGCCAUCUUCAUUUAUUAACCUACAUUCAUUUUUAAUUUUAAUGCACCAAUCAAUAAUUAUUGCACUUGACAGUUUUUGACAGUCUGCUGCUACAUUUAGCUGCUUAGCAUGAAUUCAAAAGGUGAUCUAUCAAUUUGUACAAAUGAAGCCAAGUUCUUUCUUCCUGUGUUUUGAGGAGAUGUUGAAAAAAAUGCGUGUUUACUGUGCCCUGGGGAAUUUUUGAUGUAGAAUGCAUAAUAGUUCUUUAUAUAAGAAAAUAGAGGACUAUAAAGUAGUUAGUAAGAAAAUUUCUGUUAUGUAGCAAUUUACUUAUACAUCCAUUUGAAAGGUCAGAUUUCUUUUCAUUGGGAUUGAUAUUGUGAAGAUCACCUUUUGUCAUUAGACAGUAUUUACUGAGUCCUGAUUUUUUUGUACAACAUUGUUCUGGUGUUACGGGAAAUAAAUAUAGAGUCCCCAAGUAAUCUAGUGGUCAGAGAAACAAACCCAGUCCCAAGAUUAUGAUGGGUAGAAAAACUGAGAAAAUGACAAAUUUAUCUCGAAAACUGAGAAAAUAACACAUUUAUCUCGCUGUACAUCUGCACUUAACAGUAAUCCUAGUGGAAAUUCCAAAUGAAAAAUUAGGAGUCAAGGAUGGUCCUCGCUGGAGACUAAACAGCAGGGAGAAAUGUUCUUUCUCACUAAAAUCACAGUGUCAACAUUCUUGGCAGUUCAGAUGGUCUCUGCUGUAGCUGUUGGUUUACAUUUUGAUAAUUUACCAAAGAGCAUAUAAUAUUUAAUUCCGGGCUGGAUUGUGCAACUGAACAUAGCCUUCCCAGCGAAGGGCGUGGCAGAUGUGAGAGUGAGCCUUCUCCUUGGGAACUAGAAGCUCAUUCACUCCACUGGCUCUUCUCUGGACGUGAGAUGACCCACAGGUUACAAGUUCUGGAAGAGAAGCAGAAAAGCAGAUCAUGUCAUUGCUAACGGGAAAGGAGGGGCUUCAUUUUCCUGCUCCCUUGCGGUUAAUUUUGUUUUCCUUCUUGGUCUGGGGUACUUUGCCUUGCAUUUCCUGGCAGGAUUUAGGGAAGAGGCACUGACCUUCUGGUGCACUCUUUUAUUCUACCCUAGGCAUAUUAUUAAUAGGCACCAUUUUUUUCUCUUUUUUCAUUUUGUGGCUAAGAAUUUUCUGACUUUUAUACUGAGCCUUUGCGUUUCAGCUUAAUAGAGUGAGAGUUAGCAUGUUUUGGGCAACGCUCACCCUAGCCCAUGAUUUAGUUUAAUUUUUUUAAAUACCCAAACUGUUUAUCGAACUUUGUUGUGGCAACUAUGCCAGUCACUAAUUGGCGCUAUGGUUAUUUGGCUGUUGCUCUUAGUUACUUUGCUCUGGCUUUUGGAUUACUUAAUAAAAUCGGGUGCCAGUUUCCCUCUUACAUAUGCAUACAGAGACAAAUGGAAACAUCAUCCUGAAGCAUCCAACUCUUGGGCUUCAUAAUCCUAAGAAGCACUUGGAAUCGGGUAAAAAUGAGUAGAUCCAGAAGAGGGGUGAGUCAUGAAGUCAGAGAGGGCUGGCUGGAUUCGCACACACCAGCCCCACCGCCCACAGCCCCUGCUUUGGAGACCAGUGAUGGCCUCAGGUCUGUGUUCAGGACUUGUCCUGCUGACUCAGAGAGCUGUGCAGUACCUGGGCCUAGGUUGACCCCGUUAUGCCAGUGUGUUAAUUCACAGUGGAAAAUAUCGCUAACAAACUCUCAAGCCCCCAUGAUCAGCACAUUGUCUCUCUCUGCCAAGCUACAUGGGAAUGUAAAUCAUAAUUGGAAGCCGCUUUAUUGAUUUGUUUUGAGAAAUUGCUGCUGUUUGGCUGCCAGUAUCAAUAAUAGUCGCAGUGGACAUGUUCCCUGAGAAAGAUCCGUAUGGAGCCAGGUGGUUGCUUGGUGCACAAGGAAUCAGCACAAGGGUGUGGGGUGCACUGACUGUGAGCCAGUCAUAGCCCCUCUGACAUAGGGGGCUGCUCUGGUCAUCUCAGGAGAAGGAUGGCUUUUUCCAGGAGGACCUCAGCAUUUCAGUCAUUUACUACAACUCCCUCCAGUUAUCUCUUGAGGGAAGCCUUGCCAGCAAAGCUACCUUCUUCCCCUAACUGUCUUGACACUGCCUACAUUGGAUUUAAUGAUUCUAUCCUGUAAUCCCUGUCUGACCCUCUUUGGAGGAUAUCUUCUUUUCUUAAAUAUAUAAAUAUAUUUCAUCCAGUGCUGGUAGGGUUAGGGGUGGUAGUGGUGCUGGAAAUUAUCUUUCAUCAGUUGACUUUGUAUGUCCACAUUCUACUCCACUGAAUUUCAUUCUUACAUUCAACCUUUCAGUAGGCAGUCUCUCUUCCAUUUCCAAGUUCCUGUGGGAAAGUGGUAAUCCUCACUGAACUCUGGAUAUGCCCCUUGGAGGCUUCGGAGUGGAUGUCUUAUUAUACCUUCAUAUCAAGCUCUGUGAGCUGCAUAGUAACAUGGAUGUGUCUGUCUUCAUCAGCAGUAGACCACCUCCAUUGGACAAAUCCAAACUACUACCCCUUUUUGCAAAUAAAGUUUUAUUGGAACACAACCACAUUUAUUUGAUGUCUAUAGCUAUUUUCAUGUGACAUUGACAAAAUUGAUUUGCUUGUUUUGUAGUAGGCCAAUAAAGCCUAGGAUAUUUUCUUUCUGGUCCUUAUCAACAAAUGCUUGCCAACCCUGGUCUAUCUAUACCUUUAGAAGUCAUGAAGCUGCAGGAGAGAAAAGCAGAAGUUCCCCAUCUCCUGCUCCAACUCACUAAACAAAUGGAGGAAAAAGAGAAGGAAUGCAACUUGCCCAAGUUCACAGAGCUGUUCUCACCACGUGGGCGCAUGCAGGGGUACACUGCGGAGGUGCGGACCCUCACCUGAGGCUGCAGGAUCACCGGUCCAGAAGCCCGGAUGAAAAGAGGUGAAAACUCCCCGAAGCAAAGCCUUGCAGCAAAAACCCAGCCUGUUUGCUUCCUGAACCCUAUGGCUGAUUUGCUCCUUAGCUUUCUGUGCUGUCCCCUGCCCAGCUCCUGAUUUCCCUUCAGGGAGCAGAUUUCACGUUGGGAAGGAAGGACUGCAGGAGGCUGGGGUUUAGUGUUUGGGGCGGCCAUGGCAACUGCAGCCUUAAAGGAGGACUAGGGUGGCUGCUUUGGACAGGGCCAGGAUUCAGCGUUAUCUCAGGACUUCUGCACAGCCUACACCACGUGACCACCCGGGAAGGUUAUUAAACCUGGCUCUUCUCUCCCUCCUCCUCUGAUCCCACUGCAG
ensembl:lncRNA